AGGCUGUAAUGGCUUCAAUAGUGGAACUGGUAUCUUUGAGAUUUCCGGCAUGGGAUCAAUUCCUAGCGGCUGGGCGCGAGUUUACUAGUUGUUUCGAGCAACAAAAUGCAUUUAUGUAUUGUGCCGCGUGCUAAUGGAUAAUUACCUCUUAUUGUCUCGUUUGGUACUGUCGUUAAUUUAGAAUUUGUUAAUUUAUUAGCGGUCUUCAUUAACAGAGACGAUAAGCUUUACAAGACGUGUCCAGGUUCAUUUCAUUAAUCGAUCUUUGCGGGUUUGCCCGUUGGCUGGCGGUAUGAGAAAUCUGCCUGUUUUCAGUCUGGAGCAGUAAUGUAGUAAUAGGCUUAGUUUCACUAGGUCCCGUCUUUACCGUGGUUAGGGGAGUUUCAUCCAGCGACUACAAAGACGACCCGUGAUGGAGGCGGUCUGGAUAGCACUUGUCAGUAAAGUAAUUUGUACAGUGUCGAUUUUAAAAAUUGGGUAAUGGCUUUAGUAAUCACUUACUCUUCAAUGAGGUUGAAGGUACCUUUGGAACCACUAAUU
rnacentral:SRP_RNA from 1 species